GUUUACAGAUAAGCUAAUUACAGGGAGGUGCUGCCACUGUGGGCCAGAGUUUCUCCUGACUCGGGUCUAGAUUCCUCUGGUUCAUUUUCGGCCCUUACUCCUUCAGCAGCCAGAGCCCUGGUGCCCCACAUAAUGCUCCCUCUCCCAUCCGUCAGGAACAGAAAUUUAGGGUCACUAAAUUGCGGUCCCCACAUAAUACUCAUCUCUGCAAUUCCACUCCCCGGCACAGCGGAUGUGUGCACUGAAUGCUGGAACGAAUGCAAUGACCUUUACUUGAAGUAAAACAAAUGGAACGGAAGAGCA